rnacentral:lncRNA from 1 species
UCUUCCAACCCUGUUGGAGAAACAAAUCUCCUUCUACGGUCGUGACCGUAAAAUUGUUUCUCGUUUCUUUGUUGUUUCUCGCUUGAUAACAUUGAGAACCGCCAACUUCGAGAUGACCUGACGUGACGUAAAAUAUUCUUUUUAUUUUUUGAAAUGGCGAGCUUAAAUUACUCAAUCAAGAUACUCCACAAGGGAAACAUUAUUGGAGAAAAAAAGAAUACGACUUCAUGCCAUGGUCGGCCAUCUUUGUCCCUUCUGCCGGCGAAACUUUUUUUCCCCGGUUCACCGUGACUCGAUGUAACUGAACAUGGUGCCACCACCCAACUCCCGCCAGCCAUGUUACGAAGCUGGUGGAGGAGUUCAAGGUUACGGCGUCAUUCUUCUCAAACGGGCAAAGAGGACGCAAACACACACUCAACCGAACAAGAGAUGGUGGCUGCAACCGAUCCAAUCAGCCAAAAGAAGGACAUGAAAGAACGGCCACAGAAACGAUAGUUAAGUGGAUGAGUUCUCAUUUUUGAUGAAUAACGAAACGGGUACAAACACACAAGUCGGAAACCGGAGAGAAAGAAAGAGGUGAUGAAAAAAGGAACCAAGCAGAAAAGAAGAAGAGGUGAACGACCAUCGGCUUGUGUGUGGUGCCCGCGGCACCAACAUGUACACACACAAGAGAGAAAAAAAACCUCCUUCGUCCGGAGUCUACACACGGAGGUAUUAAAAAAAGGGAAAAACAGGUAUAGGCUAAAUCCCAGCAUAUUUCUUUUACUUUAUGGUAUCCUACGUAUUACACUAACAUUUCUGUCUCAGCUUUCUAAUACUUAAGGAAAUCUUCUUACUUUGUUAGACUUUCGCAAAUGAUUGUCAAAUACCCAAUUUAAUAUUGAUAAUCAGGAAAUCAUUGCUGCAAUCGAAUGUCUGCGCAAUUGAGGCUACUAGGUUUCAUUAACGUAAAAAGUUAUUCCCACAUUGGGAUGUUUUGCCUUAUGAUUUCAUCUAGAUUUUUGCAGAACAACCAUUUUUGCUCACCUUCACCGAAUGGAAAAUUUAUGUCAAGUUUUACGAAGAAGAGGUGCGCCGUUUUUGAAACCAUCGAGGACGGACUAGAAACGAGAACAACCCAGUUAAAGAAAGGAGUGGGUGGGUAGUGCACACAUUAAAGCAGAGGCACUGGGAGAAUCCAACAUCCGUUAAAUGAAUAGGAUCUUGCAUUCGGCAGAGCCUCCCCUGAUUGCAUAACCGGUUUUUAUCACUAACAAGAUAAAUGUCGCAAUAUCGAUCUCAUUGUUUCCAUCUGUCCAUAAAGAAUUUGAAUAAUGUUUGGCCAAAUCGAUCUGCGGUUGUCAGUGGCAACUAAAAAAACGUGGGUGGCGUACAUCGCCACAUACAUAUUGUAACGGUGUGCGAAUCCCAUUACGAAUCCAUACGCUAUUGAUCAGUAGGCAACUGUCUCACGAAUCAUCUCUUAAUUUCCCGCAGCCAGGUUUCGAUAGAAAAAAUGUCCUGGAGAAUUAUCAAGCAAAUCCGGUCGGAACUGGAGAAGAAUAAUUGUCGAGUCUAUCGAAGCAACUUUCUUUCAAAAACAUGAUUGCCAAUCUAGAAUUAAAAAGUCUAGACGAUAUUUUUUUUAAUUCUUUGGUUAAUCGUCAUUCUUCAGGGACAAUCAACUGUCGAACAUCCUCCGUUGUUCAGUACGAACUGGUAUAAGCCAUCCAAGGACUAUUUAACACAGGGAAGGGAUUUAGCGAAGGUAAAGGUAUACAACAAAACAAUUAAGGAGCGCCCCCUGGUUGGGUUUUUACGGUAAAAUAAAAGCACCGCCUACUUUCCAGCGACGUGGCGAGGGUGGACUUCUCUCGUCUAUCGCCGUCUACUUCGGCAGCAGUGGCGACGGUGGAAGUCGACAAAAGCAACAAGCCGGCACAUAUUCCGUAUAUCACAAAGACGAAACACCAAGAUGAUGAUCGGCACGUUAAAGACGACAUUUCGUUAUGGUCCAA